CUGCGGCCUAUCAGCUUGUUGGUGAGAUAACAGCCCACCAAGGCUAUGACGGGUAUCCGGCCUGAAAGGGUGAACGGACACACUGGAACUGAGACACGGUCCAGACUCCUACGGGAGGCAGCAGUGGGGAAUUUUGGACAAUGGGGGCAACCCUGAUCCAGCGACGCCGCGUGGAGGACGAAGGUCUUCGGAUUGUAAACUCCUUUUAGAGGGGAAGAAUAAAUUGACGGUACCCUCAGAAAAAGCCACGGCUAACUUCGUGCCAGCAGCCGCGGUAAUACGAAGGUGGCGAGCGUUACUCGGAAUUACUAGGCGUAAAGCGUAUGUAGGCGGCCAGAUAAGUCUUCGGUGAAAUUUUCCGGCUCAACCGGAAAGGGCACGAAGAUACUGUUUGGCUUGAGUGUGGCAGGGGGAGACGGAAUUUCUGGUGUAGCGGUGAAAUGCGCAGAUAUCAGAAGGAACACCGAUGGCGAAGGCAGUCUCCUGGGCCAAUACUGACGCUAAUGUACGAAAGCUAGGGUAGCAAACAGGAUUAGAUACCCUGGUAGUCCUAGCUGUAAACGAUGUUCACUAGAUGUGGGAGGUAUCGACCCCUUCCGCGUCGCCGCUAACGCAUUAAGUGAACCGCCUGGGGAGUACGGCCGCAAGGUUGAAACUCAAAGGAAUUGACGGGGGCCCGCACAAGCGGUGGAGUAUGUGGUUUAAUUCGACGCAACGCGAAAAACCUUACCUGGGCUUGAACUGCUAAUGGUAAAAACCGGAAACGGCAAUGACCCGCAAGGGAGUUAGCAGAGGUGCUGCAUGGCUGUCGUCAGCUCGUGUCGUGAGAUGUUGGGUUAAGUCCCGCAACGAGCGCAACCCUUACCCCAUGUUACCCGUAGCAAUACGGGGUCUCUGAGGGAACUGCCAUUGAUAAAAUGGAGGAAGGUGGGGACGACGUCAAGUCAUCAUGGCCUUUAUGUCCAGGGCUACACACGUACUACAAUGGCCGGUACAGAGGGCAGCAAUAUCGCAAGGUGGAGCAAAUCCCUAAAAGCCGGCCUCAGUUCAGAUUGUGGGCUGCAAUUCGCCCACAUGAAGUAGGAAUCGCUAGUAAUCGCAGAUCAACA
rnacentral:rRNA from 1 species